rnacentral:lncRNA from 1 species
AUUGGACUAGACUACCUUAAAUAACCCCCACAACCCAUGUUUGGUGAAGCACUUCUUUAAGUUAAAUGAGACUAGAGAGUCCGGGCCCUGCGCUCCAUUGUGCUUUGCUUUUCUCUUCUUGUGCUCUAUGCUCUCACUCACUCAGGUUAGUUGUUCAACUCUCUUCCUUUCUUUCCACUCUUCUUCUCUAUCUCUCUCUUUAGUAUGCUAUUUCUUGGUUUGAUUUUGAAGUUUUGAUUAUGGGUUUGUUUGUUGUUAACUUAAUCUGAUAAGAGUUAUGCUUUUUAUUGGUUAAUUUUGGACGGAUUAUAAUUGGGUUUUUUUUAGGGUCUUUAAUUUUGAAUUGUUUUGAUCAUGAAAUUUUUGUUUGGAAUGAGAAAAUAUCAACAAAUUGAUGGAUAGAAUGAUAAACAUUUGAAUUAAGGUUGAACUAAUAGCUGAAAGUAGAACACAGAGCUACAAAGUUCUAAGUAGGGCUCUUGCUUGCUACCUAUAGAAGUUAUGUUGUUUGGAAUUCUCUGUUGCUGUGCGGAUAUAAAACUAACCCAGCAAAUACCAGGAGCCGUCAACGAAAGUUGCAAAAAAGAUUUUAUUUAUUUAUUUCAAUAGCAUCAAAUUAUGUGGAUGCUAUGAGCUUUUGGUUGGUGAAGUGAAUAAGCCAUAUGCUCUUUAUUUUUAUUUAUUCAAGAUGCUAUUUCUUUAAAACCAAAAAAAGGGUAAGUUAUUCCUCGUUUUGGUAAAACUCAUGCAUCAAACAGUAAAACGUAUAAAAUCCUUAAGAAGAAAAACGUACAUGCGGUGGAGUAAAUGAUAAAGUAAGUAACCAACAACUUUUCUUUUGUUAAAUGUGACAACAAACCUUUGUCUUUCGAAGAAAUUAUAAAGAAAAAGCAAAAGGUUGAACUAAUAAUUCAGGAAAUUUCUUUUAUUUCUUAAAUAGCUAGCGCAACGAGCACUCUUACAUAAUUAGGCUUUAAUUUAAUGAUAGUUAUCUUUGUUUAGCUAGACAUUCAAAGCCCAAUUCAUAGGAAUGCAACAUUCGGACUUCCUGGUGGGUGGAAUAUCUUGUUUACCAGUAUAAUACAUCCAACCAAAGAUUUUCAUGUUAAAUUACACCAACUUUACCAUUAUGAUUGAGCUAAGAACUAUGUGCAGAGAGGACACGAUAUAGUGUCCUAUUGUUUCCCUUAAUCUAAUAAUAUUUAGUUAGACUUUCAAAGACUGACUCAUAUGAAUGUAACCUUCAAACUUUGUCGUGGGUUGAUUAUUUUGUUUGCGUGUAUCAUAUGUCGAACAAAGAAUUUCAUGUGAAAUUGCUCCAACUUUACUAUUGUGAUUGAGCUAAGAACUAUGUGCAGAGAGGACACGAUAUAGUGUCCUAUUGUUUCCCUUAAUCUAAUAAUAUUUAGUUAGACUUUCAAAGACUGACUCAUAUGAAUGUAACCUUCAAACUUUGUCGUGGGUUGAUUAUUUUGUUUGCGUGUAUCAUAUGUCGAACAAAGAAUUUCAUGUGAAAUUGCUCCAACUUUACUAUUGUGAUUGAGCUAAGAACUAUGUGCAGAGAGGACACGAUAUAGUGUCCUAUUGUUUCCCUUAAUCUAAUAAUAUUUAGCUAGACGUUCAAAGACUAACUCAUAUGAAUGCGACCUUCAAACUUUGUGGUGGGUGGAUUAUCUUGUUUGCGUGUAUCAUAUGUCGAACAAAGAAUUCAUGUGAAUUGCUCCAACUUUAUUAUUGUGAUUUAGCUAAGAAUUACGUGUCGGGAGGACACAAUAUAGUUUCCUAAUUUUGUUUUCUUUAAUCUAAUAAUAGUUUUCUUUAUUAGCUAGACGUUCAAAGACCGACUCAUAUGAAUGCAACAGUCAGACUUUGCUGUGUGUGGAUUAUCUUGUUUGCAUGUAUCAUACGUCGAACGAAGAACUUCAUGCGAAAUUGCUUUGACUUUAUUAUAGAGAUAAAUGUUUUCAAAGGCAUGCGUAGGUGUGUGUUGGAGCUAGGUGAGAGCAAAUUGCCUCAGUAUUUAUAAUAAAUAAUGUUUUCCGUGAGUUCAGGUAUGCCCAUGAAAAAUUUAGAGCAUCUCCAAAGGAGAUGUCAAAUAUCAAACAUCAAAUUUAAAUUUGAUGGCUGAUGUGGCAAUUUGACAUUUACAUAGUUUUACAUUCCACCCGAUAUGUCAAAUAAAUAAUUAUUGUGAGAGUCAAAUCAUUUAAGAUAAAAAAAAUUAAAAAAGAAAAAUAAUAAAUGAAAGUAACAGCUAGCUAUCUUUUAAAAAUAAUAAAAUAUUCAUUUGACAUCUUGCUUUUGGGAUGCCAAAAAUAACAUCUCAACCUCCAGCCUUCAUUCCACAUUAGCUUUGACACAUCGGUUGGAGUGAUGUGAGAUGUUAUUUCUAGCCAUUAAAUGCCUAUGUGGCACUUUUGACACAUCGGUUGGAGAUGUUCUUAUAAGGUUAAGUCUUAAUUUAAAACGAUCCCUAAAAGUUGGGUACUUUUAUGUAGUUAACCCUUAAGUUUUAUAUUAUUUAAUUAUUUUUUAUAUUUUGAUUAGAAAAUAAACAAUUUUUUUAAUUAAAUUUUCAGUACACGUGGAGGUCAUUUUUGCAACAUCAACUUAAAAAGUGGGACCAAUUUUUACCACAUCAGCAGUUAACAGAAUUCUUAAUGGUCUUGUUAACGGAGGGGCUUGGAUGUAGGAUUUCUGUGAGUUUGGGUAUGAGUUUGCAGGGUCUUCAAAACUUGGGUGCCAACGUGAAAUAACCCCCAAAGUGCAACGGGUUUUAUGUAGUUGAUCUUUUAAGUAAGGAGUUUGAUAGAAAAAGCCGUUUGUACAACAACUCUAAUCAUAGCUCUGAUUGUAAUCCUUGUUUAAUCUCUUAUUGAAUUUAGCUACUUUGCUUCUGCUUACCCCCAACAAUGUCUUGAACUAUGGAGCAAGAUACAAUAUUGUCUUGAGGCAAUUCCUCAAUGCUCAAACAUUUAUAUAUGUCAAGAAAGAUUAAUUUUUUUAGAACCUGC